rnacentral:rRNA from 1 species
AGAGAUCAUGGCUCAGGAUGAACGCUAGCGGCAGGCUUAAUACAUGCAAGUCGUGGGGCAGCAUGGUUGUAGCAAUACAACUGAUGGCGACCGGCAAACGGGUGCGGAACACGUACGCAAUCUACCCAGAACUGGUGAAUAGCCCUCCGAAAGGAGGAUUAAUACACCGUAAUAUAAUAGAGUGGCAUCACUUUGUUAUUAAAGCUCCGGCGGUUUUGGAUGAGCGUGCGCCCCAUUAGGUAGUUGGUUGAGGUAAUGGCUCACCAAGCCUGCGAUGGGUAACUGGUGUGAGAGCACGACCAGUCACACGGGCACUGAGACACGGGCCCGACUCCUACGGGAGGCAGCAGUAAGGAAUAUUGGUCAAUGGACGCAAGUCUGAACCAGCCAUGCCGCGUGGAGGAUGAAGGCCCUCUGGGUUGUAAACUUCUUUUAUGGGGGACGAAAUCACUUAUUCUUAAGUGUCUGACGGUACCCCAGGAAUAAGCACCGGCUAACUCCGUGCCAGCAGCCGCGGUAAUACGGAGGGUGCAAGCGUUAUCCGGAUUCACUGGGUUUAAAGGGUGCGUAGGAGGGCAGGAAAGUCAGUGGUGAAAUCUCCGGGCUUAACUCAGAAACUGCCGUUGAUACUACUUGUCUUGAAUAUCGUGGAGGUGAGCGGAAUAUGUCAUGUAGCGGUGAAAUGCUUUAGAUAUGACAUAGAACACCAAUUGCGAAGGCAGCUCGCUACACGAAUAUUGACUCUGAGGCACGAAAGCGUGGGGAUCAAACAGGAUUAGAUACCCUGGUAGUUCCACGCCCUAACUAUGGAUACUCGACCUACGCGAUACACUGUGUGUGUCUGAGCGAAAGCAUUAAGUAUCCCAUCUGGGAAGUACGACGCAAGGGUUGAAACU